CCUACGGGAGGCAGCAGUGAGGAAUAUUGGUCAAUGGUCGGGAGACUGAACCAGCCAAGCCGCGUGAGGGAUGAAGGUACAGAGUAUCGUAAACCUCUUUUGUCAGGGAACAAAGGCGGGUACGUGUCCCCGGAUGAGUGUACCUGAAGAAAAAGCAUCGGCUAACUCCGUGCCAGCAGCCGCGGUAAUACGGAGGAUGCGAGCGUUAUCCGGAUUUAUUGGGUUUAAAGGGUGCGCAGGCGGUCUGUUAAGUCAGAGGUAAAAGCCCGGGGCUCAACCCCGGCCCGCCGUUGAAACUGGCAGUCUCGAGUUGGAGAGAAGUAUGCGGAAUGCGCGGUGUAGCGGUGAAAUGCAUAGAUAUCGCGCAGAACUCCGAUUGCGAAGGCAGCAUGCCGGCUCCACACUGACGCUGAGGCACGAAAGCGUGGGUAUCGAACAGGAUUAGAUACCCCAGUAGUC
rnacentral:rRNA from 1 species